GAAAUGAGGAGGAGAAAGAAGCCUUUGGAACUUUGGGAGAGCAGGGGAGGAACAGCCCAGCUGAAGGCAUGGUAGGCACUGUAGAAAUCCAGCCUGCUAUUUGCUCAUUGCACCACAGCAAACGUGUGGCCUAGCUGUGAUGAAACUGGCCGUGGGAGCAAGAGAUCUGGCUGGAGAGGGCAAAACAACAUGCCUGUUCCCAAAAAUGGGAGUUUUUUUGUGAACUUAAGCAUGAGAAGGUUAUAACUUUCCAUUCAGAAGCCAAUGAAGAUGUUUACCAUGAUGGUUUAAGCCCUCCCCAAAGAAGAAAGAUAGUGCAUGGCUGUUCACUUGGACAAUGGAUGCAAGUACAUGGCUUAGAGUAUCUAUUUCUAGAUUGGCAGAAGGAAGGAAUGCUAUCCAAGGGGACCUCGAUAAACUGGAAAGGUACAGGACUCUACACUCGUACUUGUUGAACCUCAUCAGAUUCCACUCCACCCAACUCUUCGGGCCUCACUGAAUGGCAGCACAGCUCCUGGUGAAACUAUCUGGAAGCAUCCAGCAUUCAAGGCUGGUAGAGGAGCUCCAACAAAAUCUCACUAGCUUGGAAUUAAAAAAAAGCAAACUUGACCUGAAUGCAAAACCCUUCAGAAAUACAAUUUCCUUCUUGGGGCACACACAAAUCAGGCACAGAUGCAGCAAUGUCUCCUCGCCUUCCAGGUGGGGAGCAGCAACUGGUUGCAAUGCAUUUUCCUAGCUCACCUAAAUUGCAAAGUCUGAUACUUAAGUCUUUGUUUAUCUGCAAGAUGACCAAAUACCAUCUGCCUCUCUUGGAGUUAUUUUUCUUGUUGUCCAAACAGGAAAAAUAGAAUGGAUGCUUCUAAUAUUCUUAAAAUCAAAUAAUUCUGAACCACUACCAGCUCACCCAAUGAGGAUUUCUUGGAAGUUAACAACAUAAGCAAUGACUCAGCUACCUCCUAGUUUUCUCUGAAGACGUCACAGCCCAUAAUGAACUGCUCUGUAUAAUUUCCUC
ensembl:lncRNA